UUAGAUAUUAGUUAUCAUUCUUAGUUCAUUAGCGUUUCAUUUAAUUAUCAGUUACAGUCAUUCUAAUUUUCUUUCCUCUUUCGUUCCAUGUGAAAUUGGCCCGAGUUCAUAUCCUCUCCCUUGCAUUUUCGAGAGAGCCAUAAAGGCUCAAAUUCCUCCUAUCGAGUCAGUCGACAGAAAAAUUUGAAGAACCGGCCAUUAAAAAUUGACAAACAAGUCCCGAGGUUGAAGGAGCAACCGAUUGAGAAAUUUGAAAAGAUUGGGCCAAAGGCCCACUCUUAAUUCAUAAUAGUUGUAUUUUGUUAUUUUGGGCCUAAGCCCUUGUCAUUUUAAUUGUUAUUGUUGUAUUAGUUUAGGACAGGUGGAAGAAUUGAGACUAAGGUCCAAAAGAUAGAAAAUACUUCUAUUAUGCUAGAAUAGGACAGGUACAAAUGACUUAAAUGGGCCGAAGGCCCAAAACGAAAAUGGGCCCAAAUACUGGUUCAGGCGGACAGAAACCAGAUUUGGGUCCAACCCUCUUUACUUUACUGUGUUUGUUUUGCUUGUUAGUAUUUGUCGUUAAUCUUAGGGUUGAAAAGUUCAAAUCCCCGUUAAGACGCCCGUUGUGUUUUAUCAAUUUAGCUAAAAUCGAUCAUCCUCAACAAGACUUAAAGAAUAAAUGUUGCAAAAAUUAGCUCACUUAGACAAUAUUUAAGUACUUCCCUUUUCCCCCUUAAAAUAGUUCUAACUAUAAAACAACUUAAUUUUGUAAGUCAAACUAAUUUAAAAUUAUUUUAGCCAAAUAAAUUAAUUGUCGGAUAACCGCAUUAGCGGAUAUUUUAGGUGCUUUAAAAACUUUCCUAGAAUAUUAAUAGGAACCUCGAAC
rnacentral:lncRNA from 1 species